rnacentral:lncRNA from 10 species
CCCGCUUUCUCUAUCCCUCUAUCUUACUAAAGAGGCAAUGAAGGGUGGAACUGUAAAGUUGGCAAGACUUUGGGAACAAUCCAUCUCUUCUCUAUCUACCCUUCUCCCUUCUCUCACUUCGAGAUAUUCUCCCACUUCGAGAUAUUCUCCCACCAAGGUGCUAUGUUGGAAAAAAUCAGGGCUUUGGAGUCAGGCACAUUUGGGUUUAAAUCCUGGCUCAGUAUUUUUUUAGUAACCUUCAGUAAAUUAUAUAAUUCCUCUGAGCCACAAGUACCUUAUUUGUGAAGUGAUGUUAACAAAAAUGCACUUUGAGUAGAGUAGAUGAGAAAGCAUCUGUAAUGCUUCUUGCUCAAUGUCUGUUUAAGGUGUUCAGUAAAUGUUUGCCACCUUCCCUGUCCCUACUGCUGUCCCUUAGAUGCCUGGGCUUCCAGGAUACUCAAUCUAGGUCUUCGUGUUCCAAGCUGUUUCUUCUUCCCAAGCCCCAUCUUGUUCCUAAACUGCUGCAGCUGAAAGUCUUCUCAAAGUGUUUAACAAAAUUACUCUAAGUAUUCAUGACUGAUGAGAUUAAUUAGGUGCCUCUUUUUUAGUAUCUAGCUUUUUAUAAGGGAUAAGGCCUCUAAGUGGUUACAUAGGUUCUUUUCUUUUGUUUUCUUUUCUAUUGAGACGGAGUCUUGCUCUGUCGCCAGGCUGGUCUCAAACUUCUGGGCUCAAGUGAUGCACCCUCUUCAGACUCCCAAAGUGUUGGAACUACAGGCAUGAGCCACUCUCCCAGCCAGAGGAUUCUUUUUCAAUAACAGCUUUAUUGAGCUUGAAUUUACAUACUAUAAAAUUAAUCCUGUUAAACCAUACAAUUUGAUGAGGCAGGCAGAUCGCUUGAGCCUAGCAGUUUCAGACUAGUCUAGGCAACAAGGUGAGACCCCGUCUCUACAAAAAAAUA